rnacentral:tRNA from 2 species
AAAGACCUAUAGAACUUUCUCCUACAUCAU